rnacentral:miRNA from 1 species
CUGAAAGGCACGUGAAUUGGG